rnacentral:sRNA from 1 species
GUCGUAGCGGUUCGAUUGGGAUACUCAUCAAAUAAUACUGAAAACCGAGAAGACAUCUCUUGCUAAUGGCGGGCCAUAUAAAGCACUUCGGUGCCUAAGCUGUAAAGCCGGUGGAUUACAAAGGCGGAGAGCUCUCAAAUCUUACAUGCUCGGAGUUUCAUCACAUCAUCGUGCGGCCCCC